rnacentral:rRNA from 1 species
CCUACGGGAGGCAGCAGUGGGGAAUAUUGCACAAUGGGGGGAACCCUGAUGCAGCGACGCCGCGUGGGUGAAGGAGUAUUUCGGUAUGUAAAGCCCUAUCAGCAGGGAAGAACAAUGACGGUACCUGACUAAGAAGCACCGGCUAAAUACGUGCCAGCAGCCGCGGUAAUACGUAUGGUGCAAGCGUUAUCCGGAUUUACUGGGUGUAAAGGGAGCGCAGGCGGCGCGUUAAGCCUGGUGUGAAAGCCCGGGGCGCAACCCCGGGACUGCUCUUGGAACUGCGCGGCUGGAGUGCAGGAGGGGCAGGCGGAAUUCCUGGUGUAGCGGUGAAAUGCGUAGAUAUCAGGAGGAACACCGGUGGCGAAGGCGGCCUGCUGGACUGCGACUGACGUUGAGGCCCGAAAGCGUGGGGAGCAAACAGGAUUAGAUACCCGGGUAGUC